rnacentral:rRNA from 1 species
AACGGAGCUUUUAGCUUUUUCGAAAGCUUAGUGGCGAAAGGGUGAGUAACASGUGGGUAACCUGGCCUUGGGUUUGGGAUAACCUAUCGAAAGAUGGGCUAAUACCGGAUACGUUCCAUUACUACUUGUAGUGGAGGAAAGAUGGGGAUUCGUAAGAACCUAUCACCCUUGGAUGGGCUCGSGGCCUAUCAGCUUGUUGGUGAGGUAAUGGCUCACCAAGGCUAAGACGGGUAGCUGGUCUGAGAGGAUGGUCAGCCACACUGGGACUGAGACACUGCCCAGACACCUACGGGUGGGUGCAGUCGAGAAUCUUUCGCAAUGGGGGAAACCCUGACGAAGCGACGCCGCGUGGAGGAUGACGGCCUUCGGGUUGUAAACUGCUGUCAGCUGGGAAGAAAAAGUUGUCGACGAAUACUCGGCAGCUCUGACGGUACCAGCAGAGGAAGCCACGGCUAACUCUGUGCCAGCAGCCGCGGUAAUACAGAGGUGGCAAGCGUUGUUCGGAUUUAUUGGGCGUAAAGGGUCCGUAGGCGAAUUGGAAAGUCGGGUGUGAAAUCCUACAGCUCAACUGUGGAACUGCAUUCGAAACCCCCAAUCUGGAGUGUGAGAGGGGUGAAGGGAAUUCCCGGUGUAAGGGUGAAAUCUGCAGAGAUCGGGAAGAACACCCAGUCGCGAAGGCGCUUCACUGGCUCACUACUGACGCUGAGGGACGAAAGCUAGGGUAGCCAACGGGAUUAGAUACCCCGGUAGUCCUAGCCGUAAACGAUGAUCACUAGGUGUUGGGGGGGUUAA